CGGACAGUGAAUGCGAGUUCCUAGUGGGCCAUUUUUGGUAAGCAGAACUGGCGAUGCGGGAUGAACCGAACGCGCGGUUAAGGUGCCAAAGUCGACGCUCAUCAGACCCCACAAAAGGUGUUGGUUGCUCUAGACAGCAGGACGGUGGCCAUGGAAGUUGGAAUCCGCUAAGGAGUGUGUAACAACUCACCUGCCGAAGCAACUAGCCCUGAAAAUGGAUGGCGCUCAAGCGUCGCACCUAUACCGUGCCGUCGGAGCAGAUGCGAAGCUCCGACGAGUAGGAGGGCGUGGGGGUCGUGACGCAGCCUCUGGCGCGAGCCUGGGUGAAACGGCCUCCAGUGCAGAUCUUGGUGGUAGUAGCAAAUAUUCAAAUGAGAGCUUUGAAGACCGAAGUGGAGAAAGGUUCCAUGUGAACAGCAGUUGGACAUGGGUUAGUCGAUCCUAAGAGAUAGGGAAAUUCCGUUUGCAAGCGCCCGAUCUUGGGCCGCCUAUCGAAAGGGAAUCGGGUUAAUAUUCCCGAACCGGGACGCGGAUAUUGCCGUUCGCGGCAGAUGCGGUAACGCAAACGAACCCGAAGACGCUGGCGGGGGCCCUGGGAAGAGUUCUCUUUUCUUUUUAACGAGCUUUCACCCUGAAAUCAGCUUGCCUGGAGAUAGGGUUUAAUGCUCGGUAAAGCACCACACUUCUUGUGGUGUCCGGUGCGCUCUCGACGGCCCUUGAAAAUUCGGGGAAGACAUUGAUUUUCGUGUCCGGUCGUACUCAUAACCGCAGCAGGUCUCCAAGGUGAGCAGCCUCUGGUUGAUAGAACAAGUAGGUAAGGAAGUCGGCAAAAU
rnacentral:ncRNA from 1 species